rnacentral:sRNA from 1 species
GCACAAUGACAAACCGAGCAUAGCUCGC